rnacentral:rRNA from 1 species
GACGAACGCUGGCGGCGCGCUUAACACAUGCAAGUCGAGCGAGAACCAGGGCUUCGGCCCUGGGGACAGCGGCGAACGGGUGAGUAACACGUGGGUAAUCCACCCUCGGCACCGGAAUAGCCCGGGGAAACCCGGAUUAAUGCCGGAUGGCCCGCCGGCCCUGCGGGGCUGGCGGAAAAGGUAGCUUCGGCCUCCGGCCGAGGACGAGCCCGCGACGGAUUAGCUUGUUGGUGGGGUAACGGCCUACCAAGGCUGCGAUCCGUAGCUGGUCUGAGAGGACGAUCAGCCACACUGGGACUGAGACACGGCCCAGACUCCUACGGGAGGCAGCAGUGGGGAAUCUUGCGCAAUGGGCGAAAGCCUGACGCAGCGACGCCGCGUGAGGGAAGAAGGCCUUCGGGUUGUAAACCUCUUUCAGGAGGGACGAAGCCACUCGGGUUAAUAGCCCAGAGGGUGACGGUACCUCCAGAAGAAGCCCCGGCUAACUACGUG